GCUUACGGCCAUACUACCUUAGGCACGCCCGAUCUCGUCUGAUCUCGGAAGCUAAGCAGGGUCGGGCCUGGUUAGUACUUGGAUGGGUGACCGCCUGGGAAUACCUGGUGCUGUAAGCA
rnacentral:rRNA from 1 species